AGUGAACGCUGGCGGUAGGCCUAACACAUGCAAGUCGAACGGCAGCACAGUAAGAGCUUGCUCUUACGGGUGGCGAGUGGCGGACGGGUGAGGAAUACAUCGGAAUCUACUUUUUCGUGGGGGAUAACGUAGGGAAACUUACGCUAAUACCGCAUACGACCUACGGGUGAAAGCAGGGGAUCUUCGGACCCUGCGCGAUUGAAUGAGCCGAUGUCGGAUUAGCUAGUUGGCGGGGUAAAGGCCCACCAAGGCGACGAUCCGUAGCUGGUCUGAGAGGAUGAUCAGCCACACUGGAACUGAGACACGGUCCAGACUCCUACGGGAGGCAGCAGUGGGGAAUAUUGGACAAUGGGCGCAAGCCUGAUCCAGCCAUACCGCGUGGGUGAAGAAGGCCUUCGGGUUGUAAAGCCCUUUUGUUGGGAAAGAAAAGCAGCAGGUUAAUACCCCGCUGUUCUGACGGUACCCAAAGAAUAAACACCGGCUAACUUCGU
rnacentral:rRNA from 1 species